AGCACGGACCAAGGAGUUUAGCGUGUACGCAAGUCAUUGGGUGACUAAAACCCAAAGGCGAAAUGAAAGUAAAGAGUGGAAAAUUUGUAAUUUAUUAUAAAUUUUCCCUCGAGGGAAGAUGGAGUUUAUUUUUUUGUUUUAUUUUAAAAAUUUAUUUUUAAAUUGACAAGAAAGAACUCUCGCAUUCCCAGGGCGCUUGUUUCUCGCUUUGCGAGUCGAUGCGCACCUAGAGCGUACACGCUGAUACCCGAAAGAUGGUGAACUAUGCCUGGCCAGGACGAAGCCAGGGGAAACCCUGGUGGAGGUCCGCAGCGAUUCUGACGUGCAAAUCGAUCGUCGGAGCUGGGUAUAGGGGCGAAAGACCAAUCGAACCAUCUAGUAGCUGGUUCCCUCUGAAGUUUCCCUCAGGAUAGCUUGCGCUCGGUUGAGACGAGUCUCAUCCGGUAGAGCGAAUGAUUAGAGGCAUUGGGGUCGAAACGACCUCAACCUAUUCUCAAACUCCAAAUAGAUGAGACCCCCGGCUUUCUUGAAAAAGAAUGAAGCCGUGGGAUUAGGAUCAGAGUGCCAAGUGGGCCAAUUUUGGUAAGCAGAACUGGCG
rnacentral:rRNA from 1 species